rnacentral:rRNA from 1 species
UGGGGAAUUUUGCGCAAUGGGGGAAACCCUGACGCAGCAACGCCGCGUGAGUGAUGAAGGCCUUCGGGUUGUAAAGCUCUUUUAGUGGGGAAGAAGCCCUCCGGGGUUAAUACCUCCGGGGUCUGACGGUACCCACAGAAAAAGUUCCGGCUAACUACGUGCCAGCAGCCGCGGUAAUACGUAGGGAGCAAGCGUUGUUCGGAAUUAUUGGGCGUAAAGAGCGCGUAGGCGGUUCGGUAAGUCUGACGUGAAAUCCCGGAGCUUAACUCCGGAACUGCGUUGGAUACUGCCGGGCUUGAGUGUGGGAGAGGAGAGUGGAAUUCCCAGUGUAGAGGUGAAAUUCGUAGAUAUUGGGAGGAACACCCGUGGCGAAGGCGGCUCUCUGGACCACAACUGACGCUGAGGCGCGAAAGCUAGGGGAGCAAACGGGAUUAGAUACCCCGGUAGUCCUAGCCGUAAACGAUGGGCACUAGGUGUUGGAGGUAUCGACCCCUCCAGUGCCGCAGCUAACGCAUUAAGUGCCCCGCCUGGGGAGUACGGUCGCAAGACUA